UUGACGUUUCAAGGUCUCGAGUUCUUUAUGUUUGCUUCUAGAUAAUAAAAUUCCUAUGCAAGUAAGUGUAAAAGACUCAAAACAGAACAUAAGAAACAGAUGAUGUAUAUGAGAAAUAAGAAGAACACAUUCGUUUUCAGUUAGCUAUGUUUUAAUAUUGUUAAUUACAAAUAAUUAAUCACCACUCAUAUUGUAAUAUUUUGGGAACUUCAAUCCAAAUCAACAUGAACUUUCAUGAAUGUUUUAUACUCAUCAUUGAAAAAAAAAAAAAAAGUAGAACGUAUAGGCGUAACAAAGAGAAGCGAAAAAAGGAAG
rnacentral:lncRNA from 1 species